ACGGCUUCAAAUGUUUCACAGCUGCCGUAGUAAGACACAGCUCAUCGAUUGCAGACCGGUGCCAUGCUGUCCCCGUAAGUGUCAGCCAUCGCUGUGCGGUCACAGAUCCUGCCAGGAGGCGGUGACAUAGUUCGGAAGACAAUGUUGUGCUUCUGUGAGCAGAGCAGGUUGUCCUAUCGAACCGGAUCUUUUCAUAUGCGAUACAAACUGUACCUUAUAGGCCCGGUCAGGCUUGGCAACGCUACAAACAAAAAUACACCUUUGAGCGACAUCCGCAACACUGCACGAACCGCAUUCAGCGCUGCUGCAGUACGUGUUCCUUCUCAGUGACGAUUGCGGAUUGUACUGCACCUUCUGCAUUGUCUUCGAUGGUUUCAACACGCCGUUGAGGUGUCCGGAACGCUCCAGGAACCUCGUCACACAAUGCAUCAAUCACAUUCCUUUAGCCGUUGCACAUAUACCCGGUGAGAAGCGCAUUGCGAGGAGGCGACAUUGUGGGAGGCCUCGUCUGCGACGAGGAACAUCAAACUCUGAAAGUGACCCAAAAACGCGGCCGCUGAGUCCGCUGCAGCUGUACCCCAGAUGGAAGGCAAUAAGAGGUACACAACUCAGUCGCAGAAUCAGCCGAUCAUCUCAUCUCCAGGACACAUUCAUGCUCGUGCUGUUGGUGCAGGCACAUUUUCUGAUCGCUCGUUUGUACGUCUCGCAGUUGCCUGCUAUGUAAGUGCGUCCCGGAAAGUUGCAGUUCUCUAACUGAGCGGUGAACAGUCUGUUCCCCUGCUUUUCGAGUCCCUUGUACCUCGUCGCAGCAGUGUAAACUGACAUCAAGGCUGCCUUCGGCAGUAUGAGAUGGCACCGUGACAUUGCGCCUAUCUCGGAUGCGAGUGUGUUCCUGGUAUGCAACGUUCUCAAGGCGGCAUAUCGCCGAUGAAGAACAGAGCAAAACUGGCUAUUGUGCCUGCUUUUUAUUACACGUGGACCGCAGUCUAUGUUUGCUUGGAAGGUGUAGUCCUUACCUGGGUUGAUCGGAUAGAAGCUUUUGACCUAGAAUGAAUCAUCACUUCUACGUCUUUGGAAGUCGAUACACGUCGCAUAUCCCGUGAAAUCGCCUAUAAUCUCGUGCUGCGCUAUCUCGUACAAUUAUUCUACAUCUCCUGAGUUCCGAGAGACUGAAAGGAGUGCAGACCUAGACCUGUGUGCACUUGCCACAUGCUGGUGUGAUAAACAUCCGAGUGGAUUUCCUCUCAACUGGGUAACGCGUCAUAUACAUCUCCAGACAGAUUCCCCCAUGUUUUGCAAUUGCGGAGGUAGUUUAUUCUAUCCGCUACAUGAUACAUCUGAAAAGGUAUCUGACACAAAGAGACUAAGAACCGCGGUAAACUUACCUGAACAAGGAUUGUGCUGACAGAAGACACACGUUUCCGAAAAACUUGCACAGUGAAAUUACGUAGGCG
rnacentral:lncRNA from 1 species